rnacentral:rRNA from 1 species
ACUCCUACGGGAGGCAGCAGUGGGGAAUAUUGGGCAAUGGAGGAAACUCUGACCCAGCGACGCCGCGUGAGGGAUGAAGGCCUUCGGGUUGUAAACCUCUUUCAGUAGGGAAGAAGCGAAAGUGACGGUACCUACAGAAGAAGCACCGGCUAACUAUGUGCCAGCAGCCGCGGUAAUAC